UCACAAUUGAACUAUUUUUUUUAUUCUGAAUAGACAAAGAAGAUGCACUUGUUAACAAAAAUCUCACAAGGUUAUCUCAAAUAUGACUCCUUUGAUAUUGGCAAUAACUUUUGUAGUGGAUUCUCAAAAUAAACAUAGUGCUGCCACAAUUUGACCAUCCUUUUGUUCUUAAGUAGACAAAGAAGAUUCACUUGUUAACAUAAUCUUAAUCUCGCUUCAGGGUUAUCUCAAAUAUGACUCCUUUGAGGUUGGCAACAAUUGAUCUCGUCCCAUCCACUUCAUAGAUCUGCAACCCAUGACGGAUAGCUUCACUAACAACCAUAGCGUCCAUCCUGUUAAUAGGAGACAUGCGCAUAAUCAUUAAUCGUGUCAUCAAUCACUAACAGUUGUUAUAUUACGAAACUGUGAAACACAAGUAGAAAGAGGUAUAAUGUGAAAUGGUUUCUAUAAUUUGCUAACUAAUAUGUGUGACGAUGGAACACCCCUGAAGGUCCACCAUUAGCACAGAGUGUUACACACAUGUGAAUAUUAAACGCUUGGAUUAAGAAUUAUAAUUUGUCAUAUAAAAACUACACUGAUACAAUAUGGAUGGAGUUGAUUUCUAUCGAAAUCCAAAUCUACAAAUGACCAAAUUAAUAUAAAUAAAAUCAUCUACUUGACUAUGUUCUCUCUUUCCUAAAUAAAAUCAUCUAUGGGGAUGUAGCUCAGAUGGUAGAGCGCUCGCUUAGCAUGCGAGAGGUACGGGGAUCGAUACCCCGCAUCUCCAAUUUUAAAUCUAUGACAAUACAACUCAAGAAAUAUGGUGCUGUCAUAAUUUAACUAUCUUUUUUAUUCUGAAUAGACAAAGAAGAUGCAUUUGUUAACAAAAAUCUCACUGGGUUAUCUCAAAUAUGACUCCUUUGAGAUUGGCAAUAACUUUUGUAGUGGAUUCUCAAAAGAAACAUAGUGCUGCCACAAUUUGACCAUCAUUUUGUUCUUAAGUAGACAAAGAAGAUGCACUUGUUAACAUAAUCUUAAUCUCGCUUCAGGGUUAUCUCAAAUAUGACUCCUUCAAGGUUGGCAACAACUGAUCUCGUCCCAUCCACUUCGUCGAUCUGCAACCCAUGACGGAUAGCUUCACUGACAACCAUAGCGUCCAUCCUAUUAAUAGGAGACAUGCGCAUAAUCAUUAAUCGUGUCAUUAAUCACUAACAGUUGUUAUAUUACGAAACUGUGAAACACAAGUAAAAAAAGGUAUAACGUGAAAU
rnacentral:lncRNA from 1 species